rnacentral:lncRNA from 1 species
AGGCGGUAAUGCUAGUAUCUUGUACCUGAACCGGUGGCUCACUUUUUCUAAGUAAUGGGGAAGAGGACCGAAACGUGACAUUGAAAGACUCUACUGAGACAAAGAUGGGCUUGCAAGAACGUAGAGGAGGUAGGAUGGGCAGUUGGUCAGAUCUAGUAUGGAUCGUACAUGGACGGUAGUUGGAGUUGGCGGCUCUCCCAGGGUUCCCUCAUCUGAGAUCUCUGGGGAAGAGGAUCAAGUUGGCCCUUGCGAACAGCUUGAUGCACUAUCUCCAGAUCUCUGGGGAAGAGGAUCAAGUUGUCCCUUGCGAACAGCUUGAUGCACUAUCUCCCUUCAACCCUU